UGCUGCCUCUUGAUGCAUGAACUGAAAAUAUUUCUUGUUUAGUAUGCAAUUUCCAUUAAUUUUGUUUAGUUCCUCUGCCAAGCAAAGCAGGAAGUACACUUUGAGUGCUGGGGUGGCUGUAGCUAUGCUCUCCAGAGGACAGAUGUCAAGGGGAGACAAGAGUAAACACUCAAAAGAGUGUACCAUGGCAAAGCUUUCCUAGUGUUAUUAUUCAUUGGAAUCAGACAGAAGCCGCCCUUGUCUUUUAAUCAAGAUGAACUUGAAAGGUGAACAUUCCUGUUCCCCACAAUGGGCUCCUGCUUCUCUUCUUCAUCUGACAGCAAUUACCACCCCAGCCUCGAGCCAGUGAUGACACCAACCCAAGACAGACUUAUCUCCCUCCAUAAGUGG